GCCGAGAGGUACCGAACUCGUAAAACCAGUACAAACCAUAAGUGCCAACCGCACUUCCUAUGCAGCUCUGCCCCUCGCCGCAUAACGACGAGUAAGAGCUCAAAUGGCGCCUCGUGCGCCACGUCUGCCUGCUCCGUUCUCCAACCGGUAGCAGAGCGGGCGUCACAAAGUUGGAGUGCCGCUUACCACUCCGUGGGGUAUGCGAAAGAGGACUUUCGGGUCUGAGCGGAUAGUUGUCUGAUGCUUCUGUCAUUCUCACAUCUGACGGCGAGACAUAAGAUUGACUAAGCUUGUAGAAGUUCGAGGGUCUAAUCGAUCGGACGCGGGUUCAAUUCCCGCCAUCUCCACCU
rnacentral:tmRNA from 1 species